GCCCAGAUGGCGGAAUUGGUAGACGCGUUGGUCUCAAACACCAAUGGGGUUAACCCGUGCCGGUUCGAUUCCGGCUCUGGGCA
rnacentral:tRNA from 1 species